AAAUGCAAGCUCCCUUCUUCUUGAGGACGCUCUUGGUUGCUGCUGUGAUCCUCUGAGGAUAUCAGAGUCUCACUUCUUCAUUUUUACAAACCAGACUCUGCCAGCGAUUCUCCAGAAGCCUUCAGUCUCAGACUCAGGUAGCACCUUUAAUUCCUCUUGUCUGGGGCUUCAGCUAUUGGUUCUUCCAGCUGUCCAGACUGCAGAUGGCCAUUGUGGACUAUCCAGCUUCUGGUCAGUGCUGGGAACGGAACCCAGGCCCUCAAGCAUGCUAACAAGCACUCUACCACUGAGCUACACACCCCAGCCCUCACUCACUUCUUUAUUUAAGAAAUAAGGAUGGGAGCCAAACAGUACCAUGAUCAUCAUCACCAACACCACCACGACCAUCAACAUGAUCAAAAAGAAAAGGAGCCAGGCACGGUGGCACGUGCCUGUAACCCCAGCAGCUGGGGAGGCUGAGGCAAGUUCAAAGCCAAUUUCUGCAACUUGCACAGGAAGAAGUCUACCGAAUCAGGAAACUGGUAAAUCAAGAAAAGAAAUGAGGCUUUGAGUUUGGUUCUAAACGAGGGUUUCUUGGCCUCGGCACAGUCGCCCCUGGGAUCAGGAUUGGUGCUUUGACCUUGGAGACCUUGCUCUUGCUGGAGGGAGCGUCCCUCCAGCGAUGAUCAGUUCCUAGAGGUGGCACAUUUCGCAGAAGGAGCCUCUCCUACACGGGCCAGCCAAUCCAGAGCGCACGCCCAGACGCCUCCUCCACCAGGUUCUCAUGCUCUGGGCCACCUAGAGUUGUUCACUGCCCCGUCCCCCAGGGCAGGCGCAGGACAACUCCUGGCUACCUGUGUCCCACAGCCUGCUGAAGUCACUCCAACCAGCUGAUCCUAAAGCUACUUGCCCUGACAGUCACAUUUCUUCCCAUGAAAACCACAGCCUGCAUUAUUUCCUCCGUCUCCUUCUGCCUCCUGACAAACCCUGCAGAGUAUGCCCAUCCCUUCCUUGGGCUCUAUGAGUCACAAAUUAUACCCCCCUUCUCUCUCUCUCUCCCUCUCUCUCUCUCUCUCUCUCUCUCUCUCUCUCUCUCUCUCCAGGGAUGGAAACCGUUUGUUGUUGUUGUUGUUUAAUCACUGAGCCACAUCCACAGCCCCCACUUUUUUUUAUCUUUGAGAUAGGGUCUUGAUAAAUGACUGUGCUGGCCUCACAUUGGCAAUCUUCCUGCCUCUCAGCCUCCUGAAUGGCUGAGAUUACAGACAUGGGCCACUUCACUUGGCUGAAUUUUUGUUUUACCUUUCAACAGAUUAAAAAUGUCAUCUGGGCUGUGCACGUGACACAUGCCUAUAAUCCCAGUGACUUGUGAGACCAAGGCAGGAGAACCACAAAUUUGAGACCAGUCUGGGUAAUUUAGCAAGGCUCUGUCUCAAAAUAAAAUAAAAUGGGCUGGGGAUGUAGCUCAGUGGUAGAGCACUCACCCAGCCCGCCUGAAGCCCUGGGUUGGAUCCCCAGCACUGGGGGGUGGGGGGAACACACACACUCACACACACCACACCACGUGAGAGAUAAGGGGUACUUCAGAUCACUGCUCCCGGAGGGGCUGCCUUGUCCAGCUCUGCCAGCUUUCAAAGUUUUCUCUUUAUUGUUGGCCACCGGCAGCUUGACCGUGACAGGCCUGAGUGUGGUUUUCAUUGCAUUUAUACCAAAAGGACAUUUCAGUAGUUAUUUCCUUAACAAUGCUCGCCCUAGGUUUUCCCCUCUUCACUGCAUGUUGAAGCCAGACCCCGGUCUCAGUGACAAUUGGGUUAAAGACAGGCCUCUUGUCCUUCCGGCCCAUUUUUCAGGCAGCCCUGAGCCCCUAGAUGGCAGCACGUGGUGUUGGAGAUGAGACUGGGGGCAGGGUCUCCAGGCCUGUCUGACCACAUGGCUGCAGUGUCUCCAGUGCGACCCUAGGCUGGGCAGUGACCCCAGGACUCUAGUGCAUUGAGUGACUUAGUCACCAAGCAGCCCACGUAUUUUAAAACAAUUAGAGGCAGUGAGACACAAUCUGCUUCCUUUUUUUUGUGGUACUGGAGGUGGAGCCCAGGGCCUCCCAAGUGCUAGGCAAGUGUUCCGCCCCUGACCAACACCCUGCUCUCUGGUUCCAUUUCAUCCUCCUUCCUCAUAGCUGGCCCCGCCCACUCCAUGACCAACUCUACCUGCCAGACAGCCUUGUGCAGAGGGCUGAGGGGCCUCCCGUAACUGGCUGUGGUCUAAUUCCAGGAAAUCUCACCCUGUGUGUCCUGCGGAGGCGGGGGUGGGGGGGGGCUAGGUUGGCCAAACCUCACUUCUUAGGGGUAAGUUUAAGCCAGGAUGUCAGCAAUGUCAGCACCCCCCGCAAACUGUGAUUCUACACCAUUAUGUAGAGGUGACAUGGAAAUUGUGUGUCACAAAUUUUAGAAACUAUACAUUGCAUUUUGCUUGAAGAACCAUCCUGCACACAAGGGGUCUGGGGUGCAGAGACCCAUCAAAUCCCAGACUGUCCCCCAAAUUAUUAGAAAUGCUUCUUUUCUCUAAGCACUUGUGUUGGUACCCCCAGCACAGCACGUGGGGGUCCCAGAUAUGCAGGGCCUGGGACCUGGACUGUACCGGGAUCCUCUUUCUCCUUCCUCCCUCCAGAUUCUUCAACCAACCCUUCUCACUCUGCAGAUCAACCCUCUAUUGUCUCUUUCCUACACAAGGCUUCUAUACUUAUAUGCAUAAUUUUUAUUAAUGUCUGCUUUCCCCAACAGACUCUAAGUUCCACAUCAGCAGGGAUCAUUUUUCUGUCUCCUUAUGGUAACUCUACCAACAGGUAUAGGGCUGACUCAUGAUUUCCAAGACAAAAAUUAUUAAAUAAAUGAAAUAAUGAGAAAGUGAAAUAUCACAUUUUCCCUUUAUGCCCUUCACAUGCACCUCUGUUUUCCCUCUUCCUCCAGCACGCUCUCCUUCCCCUCGUUUUCUCCAGUCCCUUCUCUCAACCGUCUCCUCACCCACACAGCAUCCACUCACUCCAGCAUGUCCCAAACUCUGUGUGGCUCCAAGGAUAAAGACAACGUGUCUUCCGUCCCUUCUCCUGGGACCCCACGUUUAGUGGAGGUAGAUAGAAAUCAGCAUCCUGUUAGCCAUGACUACCAGCUAAGCAGCCCCUCCGAAUGUGGGCAGCCAAACCCCCAGAUAAAUUCAUCUGCCUCCCAGAGCACCUUGGCCCCAAUCCUCUGGAUAUGCCCAUUGGCCUCACAGAAUAUUCCAGAUAAGUGCUUCUUCCUCUUACAAGAUGCAUCUGCAUGUCCCAUUACAGCAAUAAAAGGAUUCUCAGAAGA